AGAGAGAAGACCCAGAGGAGCAGGAGGACCAGGUGUGAAGAUGCAGUGAAACCAGAGGGAGACUCACCCGGAACGUAGACAGGAACCAGUGGACAUAUUUCCCUUCAGUACCACAAGUUAUUAUCUGAGGUCUUUACAAAGUUAAAACUGUAGUUUUUAUUUCAUUCUCUUUGCUCUUGAAUCACUGUUUUUAUUUUAAAUGUUCUUUUAUUCUUAAUUGCAUUGGUAGAGAACUUUGACUUUCAUUGUUGCUGAAAUGUGUUUUACUGUUAAACUUGCCUUAAACCAUCAGAAUUAGUGGCUUGUAGCAGAAUAUUCAUGAUGCUUUAAUUAUAGCUGUGCUGCUACAUUGUGUGUGUGAUUUAAUUGAAAUCCAAUAAAUUGGCUUUAAGAAAUACUGA